UGAGAAUAUAGUUGUGUUGUUUUGGAUUAGAAUUGUGUGAAAAGUUGUAACUAUUGGAAGUUUUUGUUUUUACUUUUUAUGAGAAGGUGUAAUUGCUGAGUACUUUCUUUUGUAAAAGGAUGCAACUGAUGAAUGAAUAAUUAUUGGAUUUAUGUCAAUAGUUCUAAUAAACUUAACUUAUUUAUUUCCAAUCACUCUGAUAAACAUACGAAAUACCAUUAAAACAUAUGAAAUCCUGUUACAUAGGCAUUAAUAUAACAGGUAAGAUAUAAUUCAUUUUAGAGAAAAGUGAUAACUUUCUGUGUGUGUGUGUGUUUUUUUUUUAUUAAUGGUUCUUUGUUGCAGUUCCACCAGUACCAGGUUGUGGGAAGGGCUCUCCCUACUGAGUCUGAUGAGGCUUUGGGCCACCAAUGAGGUCGGCGCCAAGUCCAAAUUCUGAAAGUUGAAUUUACUUUCAUUUGGAGAAGAAGCUGAAGAAAAGGAGAAGGAACUAGUAGCUGCAAAGAAAAAAAUCAAGAGCAGUCAUGAUGUACUUGAUGAUCCUCGUCUUCUAAAGGAUGCUAUUCCAAAUGAUGAAUUGUGGAACUGGCAAACUAUAGUUAUAGGGGUCGCUUUCUUGGCUUUUCUCCUUGUCGCCAAACACAUAG